rnacentral:rRNA from 1 species
UCAAUUGAAACUUUGACUUAGUGGCGGACGGGUGAGUAACGCGUGAGGAACCUGCCUUUCAGAGGGGGACAACAGUUGGAAACGACUGCUAAUACCGCAUGACACAGCGAGAUCGCAUGGUCUUGCUGUCAAAGAUUUAUCGCUGAAAGAUGGCCUCGCGUCUGAUUAGAUAGUUGGUGAGGUAACGGCCCACCAAGUCGACGAUCAGUAGCCGGACUGAGAGGUUGAACGGCCACAUUGGGACUGAGAUACGGCCCAGACUCC